CCUACGGGAGGCUGCAGUGAGGAAUAUUGGUCAAUGGACGAGAGUCUGAACCAGCCAAGUAGCGUGAAGGAUGACUGCCCUAUGGGUUGUAAACUUCUUUUAUAUGGGAAUAAAAUGUUCCACGUGUGGGAUUUUGUAUGUACCAUAUUAAUAAGGAUCGGCGAACUCCGUGUCAGCAGCCGCGGUAAUACGGGGUCUCCGAGCGUUAUCCGGUUUUAUUGGGGUUAAAGGGAGCGCAGGUGGAUUGUUAAGUCAGUGGUGAAAGUUUGCGGCUCAACCGUAAAAUUGCAGUUGAAAAUGGCAGACUUGAGUGCAGUAGAGGUGGGCUGAAUUCGUGGUGUAGCGGUGAAAUGCUUAGAUAUCACGAAGAACUCCGAUUGCGAAGGCAGCUCACUGGACUGCAACUGACACUGAGGCUCGAAAGUGUGGGUAUCAAACAGGAUUAGAUACCCGUGUAGUC
rnacentral:rRNA from 1 species